rnacentral:rRNA from 1 species
CAGUAGCCGCGGUAAUACGAAGGGGGCUAGCGUUGCUCGGAAUGACUGGGCGUAAAGGGCGCGUAGGCGGUUUUGACAGUCAGAUGUGAAAUUCCUAGGCUUAACCUGGGGGCUGCAUUUGAGACGUCAAGACUAGAGUGUGAGAGAGGGUUGUGGAAUUCCCAGUGUAGAGGUGAAAUUCGUAGAUAUUCGGAGGAACACCGAUGGCGAAGGCAGCCACCUGGGACAACACUGACGCUGAGGCACGAAAACGUGGGGAGCAAACAGGAUUAGAUACCCGCGUAGUCCCUGUCUCUUAUAC